rnacentral:rRNA from 1 species
GACGAACGCUGGCGGCGUGCCUAAUACAUGCAAGUAGAACGCACAGUUUAUACCGUAGCUUGCUACACCAUAGACUGUGAGUUGCGAACGGGUGAGUAACGCGUAGGUAACCUGCCUGGUAGCGGGGGAUAACUAUUGGAAACGAUAGCUAAUACCGCAUAAUAUUGAUUAUUGCAUGAUAAUUGAUUGAAAGAUGCUAUUGCAUCACUACCAGAUGGACCUGCGUUGUAUUAGCUAGUAGGUGAGGUAACGGCUCACCUAGGCGACGAUACAUAGCCGACCUGAGAGGGUGAUCGGCCACACUGGGACUGAGACACGGCCCAGACUCCUACGGGAGGCAGUAGUAGGGAAUCUUCGGCAAUGGACGAAAGUCUGACCGAGCAACGCCGCGUGAGUGAAGAAGGGUUUCGGAUCGUAAAGCUCUGUUGUAAGAGAAGAACGGGUGUGAGAGUGGAAAGUUCACACUGUGACGGUAGCUUACCAGAAAGGGACGGCUAACUACGUG